UUCCUCACUCUCUGAAUUUGCAAGGAAAUGUAGAUCCUUGCACUCACCACCAUUGUCCUGUCAGUCCCACCCUGAUAUUUAACAGAUCCAUAAAAAGUGCAAUGGCCACACAUUCCCAGGGAUCUUCAGUUCUGUGCUUCCUGGUAGGACAAAUGUCUUUUAGAAAACCCCUUACAACUGCUCAUCUGUAUGUCUCUAGCUUUGAGCAUAUUCUGACAUAUAGCAACAUAAAUUAAUAGCUCAACUCUUCUUGGUAACCAGAACUUAGUGGAAGUUUGAAUAUGAAAUGGUUUUUGUGAUAGAAAGUACCAAAUAGCUUCACUGGAAUCCAGAGGAAGAUACAUCUCUUCAUGGGAGACAGUGGCCACCAAAAGAUAUCAGACCUUGUGGCCAGUUUAAGACAGGCCAGUCCCAGCCUCCUGGAAGAGCAGCUCCGGUUGUCACCAGUGAAGUUGGGAAUACACCUGAGGGCAAAUGUGACAGACUCGGUCGAAUGGGAGAAGGAAACUCAACAGGAGGCUGUGUCCCUGCAGUACAUGGCCAGGGCAAAGUCAGGAGCAAUGAACCAGGGGCCAGAAAGAAGGAGAGCUUGAGCCAGGCGGUCUGAGGGUGUGGCUGGGAACAGUCAAAGCUGUGACUGUGGAAAUGCACCCGCGUAGAGCCUGAUAGGAAGCUAGAAAGGAGAACUUCAGAGCAGGUAGACAAGAGGAUCCCUGACAAACAGGAACAAGAGCACCAGGUCACGAGUCUAAAGCGGAAUCUGUGAGUGAUUUACCUCCCAGAGCUUUAUCCUCCUGGCUCCACAAACACGGCUCUCGUGAGAGCACCAUGACUGAUAAGCUGCAUAUUGCUACAUGCAACAGUUGGGUCUGCGCAUUUUUCCAGCAGUACUGGGCGGAGUAGAGAAUUCACCCAUCUUGAUUAUAAAUUUCAUUUCACUUCCAAGAUGCUGCAUCAUCUGGGUGUCCCUUCCACCUCAGGACCUGCCCUUCCUCAGCCUUUCCUGCGAGUUCCAUGCUCUCAGGUGAUUCUACUCUGCUUCACCUUGGGCUCCACCACUCAGCACAGUGUCUACACCAGACUCUCAGGCAGGCUCCGUGGCCCAUUCGCAGAAUCAAGUGUAAAUCAACGUCUUUCAUUAAAACCUUUCUGGGGAGACCAGCCCCACGCGGGGGCACAAGAGUGGAGCUACACGCGGUAGAAGCGGUUAUUUCUCCACAGCGGACUUGCCGUGUUCAUCCAGCACCUUGACGAAAGAGAGGCUCCGGCGUCUCCAGCCCGGCUAUCACCUGGCCUGUUCUAAAUAUAGUGAACUCCAGUAAACAGCAUCGUGAGCCUGCAGGGAGACAGGGCCACUGCCACCAGAAGCUCAAGCGUGCCUGUGUGUACUUGUGUCUUAGACUUUAUCAACUGACAAUCAGAAAAUUCACUUUUAUUUUAGAAUCUGGCAUCGAAUCAGCCUCUGCUCAGUGCUUCUGAUUUAUUAACUAGAAAGAGCUCUGACUCAGGUCAGGGUAGAUGAGAGUGAAGUUUAAGCAAAGACGAAGUGAGGCUCCCUGUGGCCUUACAGAUGCCAUCAAGCCCAGGCAGCUGAGAGAUGCUGAUCUUGCCGUCACUUUCUCAGUCAAACAGAUUUGCCCUGUCUCGUUGAGACAGGUACUGCUUUAGACAAAUUCCCUGAGCAGUGGCCACUGACACAAUUAUUAAAAACGCAUCUCACUGAAUGGAGCCUCAUGGCCACCUGGUUCGGUCCUUGUUUUUGCUAUCUGCUCACCUUUGGUACUGAAGGAGACUGAAGGUCCCCUUUCUGCGGCCAGCACCUAUUUCUGGGCCUGUAUUCACCCUCUGCUAAAGAUGACCAGAAGAGAAAGCACCAGUGUGUGGCUCGGGAAGGAACCAGAAGCAGGUCUCCCUGAGGAGCCACUGGGGAGUGUGACAAGGUCCCCAUGGUGAGAGGACACAGCAAUCCGAGCACCAGGGGGACAGGGCCUGUGCUUUGUCGUCUGUGACCCCAGCCAGCUUUCCUGCUUCAGGACGUAUUGUCUGGGUUCUACACAGAGCAGACUCGGGACCCCAGGCAGCGCGACUCCCACCACCCACCUUUUUAAAAUGCUGCUUGACAGUUCCUUUGCUCCUCUCUGCCAAUUUCUGCCUCCUUAGUUUACCACGCCAACCAAACACAUCAGAAUAACAACUUUAGAAGCAAACUUUUCAGUCUGGAAGGAGAUAGGAAAUGGGAUAGAUGUGGUGUAGCGCCAUCCAAAUGUGAGAGAAGUGAUAACAGGGCAAAGAGGGCAGGUGGAAUCAAAGAACUGUGGCUUUGUGUUCUGCUUUUUAAAACCUUUUCUUCUUGUAGCUGGUGCCUGUGUACAUACUCUUGAUGUGGUCAAUCAUUCCAUCUUCAAAAUAAGUGAAGACUAAGAUUUCAUGCAUCUAUAAAAUGAGAGCACCACUUUCGUAAAAUCUCUCUUUUACAAAAGACAAGUAGGGCACGUUUUUCUUUUUUAUAAGAGAAAUGCUUAACAAGUGGCUUUAAGUUCAAAUUGUUCAGAAGAAACCUUUUACAAAUGGCUGCCACGUGAUAGAAAGAAUGAAAGAGUCUGAACUAAUGCCACCCAGACCACAGGCGCUUGUGACCUUGAGCCCUUCAGUCAGCUGAUCCUGGAACCUCUGUUUCUUUUCCAUGAAGCAAAGAUAAUAACACCUGCUUUACAGACUUAUGGGGAUCAAAUGAAAGUAACCUGCUAUGUAAAGUGGGGGGCAAGUUGCUCCCAAUCCACAUCUGCACAUGCUUGGCCACACCACAAAGGGUGGGCACAGGGCUUCCUGGAAGAUGGAAAACUGUCAUGAGCUAAUAGGAGGUGAGGGAACUGCGUGUUUCUCUGCCUCUGCAGACAGAAGGAAGAACAUGCCUGUGCCCUUGCAGUGCAGAUCAGAUCAGGGACUGCCCUGCUGAGGCCUCUGCAGGUCCUGUGUAGGCCUUAGCUGACCUGGUCACUGGGUGCUCCGGCUAGUGGCCCUGAUGGGACAUUUUCCAGCAUUCAGGCAACAGUACACUUAGGGAGGUUCUGUCACAGCCUGCUGGAUGCCAAGGACUUUCAGAGUUUCCUUGGGGUCCUCCCCAGCUGCCUGAGCCUUGACUGUCUUUCGGUGUCUUAGACCAGAUCCUAGGACUUCUGUACCUCUCCUGACCAUUCUCCAGCAGUACACAGACAACCUCUGGACAUAUGUUUGUGCUGAACCAGAGCAGAGGGCUGCGGCCUUGCACAGGUCCCAGGCUCUGAGAACAUUCCAGCCUCCACCCGUAGCUCAGCUGGAGUUUCACCACGCCGGCCUCUCUAGUCACACUCUAGAACUCUCUAGUUCUCCGAGAGGAAAACCAGAAGCUCGGAAAUACACCUUGAAUCAAACCUGAAGCUUGAUCACAUAGGAAAUCUACUGUCUUUUAUGAGCUCUAAAAUGGUUUUAGCCAUUUUAAUCUAGCUCAGCAAUCAGCAUCACAAAGCGUUCCAGGUACAGGCAUGUUUAAUGCCAUGGGGUCUGUUUGCUCCCCUCCACCCACAUUGUCACUGCCCUGUUCAGGUCUUUAGUUUCUUUCUUCUGAGUCAUGGUAACCAUCUCCUGUCUCCUUCCUGUUAGUCUCCACUCCAUCCUGCCCAUUUUUUGUGUUGACAAGGUGAACCAUCUAACCACAAUUCCAUCCUACAAUUCCCUACUGGUAAGCCUUUAAUACAAGCCUUCAGCACAAAUCCGAACUCCUCGGGCUGGACCCCAGAUCCUGCCUCUUCUGGCUCCUGCUCCUCCCUUCUUCACUAGCACUACCAAACCUUCCCAAGGGCGCCUUUUCAGCGUGCUCUUCCUUUUCCUAGAAUGUACUUUUCCUGGCCCAGCCCAGCCUGGGUAUCACCUCCCUGGAGAACUAUUUGAAAGCAAAAAUAGGAACUAAGAACUUAGCAAGGAAAAUACUUCUUAGGCCCACAGAAUAUUGAGAAGUGGCAACGCUAAGAAAGUUCUGGUAGAAAGUCAUGCUUGGGUCUCCACACACGUGAUUCACAAGUGUUAGCCAAGUCCAGAGAGGGACAGCAGUGCUGUGCUGUAGCUUCCUCCCAGACUCAGGCCAAGUGCCAGGACUAACAUCAAGGAGAUGGGCAUCUGAUGCCCAGAGCUGCUACCCAGAGACAGCAGAUGAUGGAAGGGCCCCCAAAGCACCUGCAAGUCACCUGGGAGAAGAACGACUGAAGAGAGAGUCGAAACAGGCAUGAGCUCAGGAAUCAGAAAGACUUAAGCUCUGGCCGCAGCGUGUUUCGAUCUUUGGUUAUCAUUUUAAUGUGAAAGUCUUGGACUCUGCUUGAGCUGUCGCCCUGGGCCUCCCAUGACUCUGGAAUUCCAGAUGUUCCUCCGGGGGGCUGAGAAGAAGGACAGAUUGUCCUGUUCUCAGUUAAGGUGUACGUGAAGAUAUACAGGAAAUCUGCUGCUUAAGAUACACGGGAAAUCUGAAAAGAGAGACAUAAAUGGAGACCACACAGCCUGCUCUCCAGAGGGAAGACACGUGGGGAGGUGACGGCUGCUGUCAGUGCCACCUGCCCUGACCCCUCAGGUAAGGUCCACGUGUUGAGGGUCCGCGAAGAACUUUAUCUCCGAGCCACAGGUGCUUUAAAUCCAUUUAUGUACAUAUUAUACAAGUCAAUGAAAGACAGUGAAAAGAGCUCUUUUUUGUGAAUACUGAAGAGUGUUAGCAGGAGGAAACAUAUCACUAAAAAUAUUAUUGUGGAAUCACAAAUGGAUGAGUUAAUUCUUUGGGGAAACACUAUGAAAAUGCACAGAUUACUCAGACAGUUCCACAGCUAUUUUGGAGUUCUGAUUUCACCAGAAUCAGAUAUUGGAAGUGGAAUUCACCCAAAAGAGGCAAUAAGCAUGUUUCUAGACUUUAGAAUAAAAUAUUUCCAUAGACGCA